rnacentral:rRNA from 1 species
UACGAAGGGGGCUAGCGUUGCUCGGAAUCACUGGGCGUAAAGCGCACGUAGGCGGACUCUUAAGUCGGUGGUGAAAUCCUGGAGCUCAACUCCAGAACUGCCUUCGAUACUGAGAGUCUCGAGUCCGGGAGAGGUGAGUGGAACUGCGAGUGUAGAGGUGAAAUUCGUAGAUAUUCGCAAGAACACCAGUGGCGAAGGCGGCUCACUGGCCCGAUACUGACGCUGCGGCACGAAAGCGUGGGGAGCAAACAGG